GUCUUAUUGAAGAUAUUCGGUAAAUUUGAAAUUAUACAGAGAAGAUUAUUAUCAUGGGUCAUAUGCAAGUAUGACUAGCACAAUCGAGAAACGAUCCAAACUUCU